rnacentral:rRNA from 1 species
UACGUAGGGGGCAAGCGUUAUCCGGAUUUACUGGGUGUAAAGGGAGCGUAGACGGCAUGGCAAGUCAGAUGUGAAAGCCCGGGGCUCAACCCCGGGACUGCAUUUGAAACUGUCAGGCUGGAGUGCAGGAGAGGUAAGUGGAAUUCCUAGUGUAGCGGUGAAAUGCGUAGAUAUUAGGAGGAACACCAGUGGCGAAGGCGGCUUACUGGACUGUAACUGACGUUGAGGCUCGAAAGCGUGGGUAGCAUACAGG